rnacentral:rRNA from 1 species
UACGUAGGGUGCAAGCGUUAAUCGGAAUUACUGGGCGUAAAGCGUACGCAGGCGGCUUUGCAAGACAGGUGUGAAAUCCCCGGGCCUAACCUGGGAACUGCAUUUGUGACUGCAUAGCUAGAGUCUGUCAGAGGGGGGUGGAAUUCCACGUGUAGCAGUGAAAUGCGUAGAGAUGCGGAGGAACACCGAUGGCGAAGGCAGCCCCCUGGGCUGACACUGACGCUCAGGCACGAAAGCGUGGGGAGCAAACAGG